AUUGAACGCUAGCGGGAUGCCUUACACAUGCAAGUCGAACGGAGUGGCGAACGGGUGAGUAAUGUAUCGGAACGUGCCCAGUAGCGGGGGAUAACUUCGCGAAAGCGUAGCUAAUACCGCCUACUAUCGGCGCGGCCGAUAUCGGAUUAGCUAGUUGGUGGGGUAACGGCGUACCAAGGCGACGAUCCGUAGCUGGUUUGAGAGGACGACCAGCCACACUGGGACUGAGACACGGCCCAGACUCCUACGGGAGGCAGCAGUGGGGAAUUUUGGACAAUGGGGGAAACCCUGAUCCAGCCAGCCCGCGUGUGCGAGGAAGGCCUUCGGGUUGUAAAGCACUUUUGGCAGGGAGGCGUUACCCGCAGAAUAAGCACCGGCUAACUCCGUGCCAGCAGCCGCGGUAAUAC
rnacentral:rRNA from 1 species